CCUACGGGAGGCAGCAGUGGGGAAUAUUGGGCAAUGGGCGCAAGCCUGACCCAGCAACGCCGCGUGAAGGAAGAAGGCUUUCGGGUUGUAAACUUCUUUUCUCAGGGACGAAACAAGUGACGGUACCUGAGGAAUAAGCCACGGCUAACUACGUGCCAGCAGCCGCGGUAAUACGUAGGUGGCCAGCGUUAUCCGGAUGUACUGGGUGUAAAGGGCGUGUAGGCGGGGACGCAAGUCAGAUGUGACAACCACGGGCUCAACCUGUGGCCUGCAUUUGAAACUGUGGUUCUUGAGUGCUGGAGAGGCAGAUGGAAUUCCUAGUGUAGCGGUGAAAUGAGUAGAUAUUAGGAGGAACACCAGUGGCGAAGGCGGUCUGCUGGACAGCAACUGACGCUGAGGCGCGAAAGCGUGGGGAGCAAACAGGAUUAGAUACCCGGGUAGUC
rnacentral:rRNA from 1 species